rnacentral:rRNA from 1 species
GUACACGAGUGGCGAACGGGUGAGUAACACGUGGGUAAUCUGCCCUGCACUUCGGGAUAAGCCUGGGAAACCGGGUCUAAUACCGGAUAUGAACUCCUGCCGCAUGGUGGGGGUUGGAAAGUUUUUCGGUGCAGGAUGAGCCCGCGGCCUAUCAGCUUGUUGGUGGGGUAAUGGCCUACCAAGGCGACGACGGGUAGCCGGCCUGAGAGGGUGAUCGGCCACACUGGGACUGAGACACGGCCCAGACUCCUACGGGAGGCAGCAGUGGGGAAUAUUGCACAAUGGGCGAAAGCCUGAUGCAGCGACGCCGCGUGGGGGAUGACGGUCUUCGGAUUGUAAACCCCUUUCAGUAGGGACGAAGCGCAAGUGACGGUACCUGCAGAAGAAGCACCGGCUAACUACGUGCCAGCAGCCGCGGUAAUACGUAGGGUGCGAGCGUUGUCCGGAAUUACUGGGCGUAAAGAGCUCGUAGGCGGUUUGUCACGUCGUCUGUGAAAUCCCUCGGCUUAACCGGGGGCGUGCAGGCGAUACGGGCAGACUUGAGUACUACAGGGGAGACUGGAAUUCCUGGUGUAGCGUAAAA